rnacentral:misc_RNA from 1 species
UAAAAGUGUUAACUGUUAAGAGUGUUAAGACGUUUUCCAAUUCGCCUUUGGCAAGAUACUAAAAUUUUUAAAUUCAAAUGAUUUUCACAGAUUUGAACGUAUUGCGCGUCGGAUGUCGCGACGUUUUAAGUCGAUGGCGAAUGCUAUCGUAGUCUUCGUCAUCAUAGCAAGUCCAAUUGCAAACAUAUUUGUGAAAUCAACGUUAUGACUUCUAUUUGUGUAAUCAACACUUCUUCACUGCUGUCACUAAAUUAAUGAUGAGUGGAGUGCAGUUCAGGGAAAUCCACAAAAACUCGUGGUUGAGAAAACUACCGGCUGGUGUUGACAAGAAGUCUGCUCUGAAACUGACUGGUGGACAGAAACUAUGGACUGUGUUUUGUAUACACGACGAUACAGAACCAGUGUUAGAGUUUUAUGUAGAUCAAAAGAAAGCAGCUGCUCAUCGUCCAGAUAAUACCGUACCAUUAUCCGAUACCGUCCAUGUUUCUGCUACUAUUUGUCCUUUACCAGUGAUGGCAGGUGAUCAUCAACAACAGUACCAGUAUGAAUUUGUUGUAACCCUCACCUCAGACGUUGUGCGUUUAGCUGCUCCUUCAUGGAAUCAGAUGAUGGAUUGGGUCCAAGGUUUAGACAUGAAAUUGCGUGAAAUGCAUAUAUUGUCCCCAAAAGAAAAUGUCUAUACCAAGCCACCAGAGUCCAGACCCCCUCUAUUACCAACUAGAGAUCCCAACUCUCCACUGCCUCCACCACCGCUACGGGACUUGUCAACAAAUGUUUUACCUGGUGUUGAACCCGUUGUCUCAGUAGUUCAAUCAAUAGGUAUAGAUGAUGGUCUUUCUUCAGAAAUUGAACAAACUUUUUCAACUCCACCUAUUAGCCCUAAUCCAAUAAGUCCCAGUGAACCAAUGAAUAAUGUUACCAUUGUAGAAGUAAUAAAUCACAAUCAAGUAUUCAAUUUUAAUCAAAUGGAACAAGUUUUAAACCAAACAAAUGAGCAAUCAUCUCAAACAUCAUCUGAACCAUUAAUAAAUUCUCCUAGGCCCAGUAGAUCAACUAGUUCUACAACUGAAAAUGUUGCUUCUCCAAGGUUGAAUAGUAGACACCAUCCAGUUCGAAAUGCAUCUAUUUUAGAAGAAUCUGUUAGUGGUGCUAGGUCUAGUAAUCAUCCAGAAUUUAGUGAUAGAACAACUAAUGUUGAUGACAUACCACAAAGAUCUACCAGUGAAGUACAAAAUGAAGGUCAACGAAUUAAAGUCAGAAUUGCUGAACCAGAAGAUGGUUGGCAUAGAAGAAGAACAAAAAGACAAGAUAUUAUACCUCCAGUAACUGAUCAAGAAGUAACUAGUAAUUAUGAACAUUUAAUAUUACCUACAGCUAUGCAGUCUAGACCACUACCUGUUUCGUCCAAUUCAGUACCUGCAGAUAUUGCAAUAUUACCAAUAAGAUCUCAAUUACCAAUUGGUCGAGGUCGUGGUGCUCGUCGAAAAGUUAACGGUGAUAGUUCACAUCCUGCAUUAGGAGCUGAUAGAAUUCGUGUAGCAGUAAAUAGUAGUACACACAAUAUGUUACAGCCAGUUCCAACACCAUUUACUCCUACAGAAAAUAGAGAUUUAUUCAGUCCAAGUCGGUUAACUGUUCGUGAAAAGCAAGUCCUCCAACUACGAAAAGAAAUGUCCCAUCUGGCUGGUGUACGGUUACAAUUGAGACGUAAAGAUUGUAUUAAUACUAUUGCUUUGGUUGAUGUCUUUCAAACUGUUUGGAUUGCUGGAUGGAAACAGAAAGAACAUCCCAUGUUGCAUAAUGCUUUACAUUUAGGUGAUCAAUUGUUGAGUGUUGCUGGAAAACCUGUAACAUGUUCAACAGAUGCUCAUAAAUUAAUACGAGCUUGGCCAAGCCUCUAUGUUGAAUUAAUUAUUAGACGUGUUCCUUGUGGACGUGUAUUUGUAGUACGUCGACAAGAGCAAGGCCAAGAUCUUGGAAUCAUCCAAGAAGGGGGUACAGCUGAAAUUAAAGAUAUACUACCAAAUAGUUUAGCUGCUGCUCACGGCUUAUCAUCUCGCACUCCUACCUUAGAUGGAUUAUCAUUUACUUCUUGGACACUAACAGAGAUAAAUUCUCGCCCAUUAAACUUAUUGUUUAAAGAAACUGAAGUUAGAGACCGUCUGAAUGCAGUUGGAUUAGACAUAUCAUUAUUAGUGCAACCAACUGAUCUUAUAUCAGCACUACGCAAACAGCUUAAAUCCUUAAAAUCAUUCAAAGACUUCUUGUUGAUAUAAACUUCACUACAAUUACUGGACAAGAUCGCGAAUGCAGGGUCAAGAGAUAAGAAAUAUGUUUUAGCCAAAACCGUCAAUGAUACGCUGAAAUGACCUAUGACAAAAGUUAACGAGCAUAUUAUUUUACAUAAUGUAAUGUUAAAUUAUAUUAAUAAUUUUAAUUAUUGUAAGUCGUACAUUUGAAAUAGUCGUAUAAUUUUAUAAAAUAUACAGUAUGAAUAAUGUCAUUGGAUUA